CAUAAAAAAAAUUCAUGGCUUUCUAUUUCUAUCUGUUUAUAAUUUUUGAUGAUCACUUUGGUUCUUUAGAAUGUUUCUACGUCUCUGAUAUUUUGUGAUGUAGUCGUUAAUAGAAAAUCGAAACUGCUGGUCCAAAUUUGUCCACAAUUUGCAGAAAAUGAGUACAGAACAGUUACAUUUGGUUCAGAUUUGAGAUUCAAUAUUGCAGCAAUUAUCAAAAUACUUAAUAUUGAACCACUACUUUUGAUGUAAAUAAAUCUAAUUGUUCCUAUCCAUAUUGUGAUUAUUAUAUUCUACUAGAACAUACCCG
rnacentral:lncRNA from 1 species